rnacentral:lncRNA from 1 species
CAAAGAGACAUUAAACGACAUUUUAUUAAUUUUAAAAGCUAUAGAUUAUAGAAAUAAAAAUUUUCCGUAUGAAAUUUCCCUCCUAAGGGUCGGCCCAAGUCCAGGACCUGUCUGGGAAUUGUGGACAUAUCGGUAGGACACGGGCAAGGAUUGCCAUCUCGCUCAGCACCUGUUUCCUUGAACGAUGAGAAUAACCCAUCUCUCCUGUUUUAAGUGUGAUUUGUCAUAUACAUCAAUAGGCAUCUUGGCUCAACAUACGAAAGCCCCUUUCCACAGAGACAGCUGCCUCCAGCCUGAAGAAGUUGCCACAGGAGGUAGAAGGAGGUCCCUUGCCCAUGCCUGGGAGACCCAGCCAGAGUGGACAGGGAGGCGGCCCGGGCCGGGGUGCCAGACUCAGCAAAUAAACACAGCAUGCCCAGGUAACUCUGAAUUUCAGAUAACCAACGAAUAACUUUGUGUGAUACUAUAUUUGUACUCAAAAGUAACUCGUUUAUCUGAAAUUCAAAGUUGACGGCGCAUGUGGUACUGUAUUGAAUCUGGCAACGCUCCACCUUGGUUUUCCUACCCGGGUUUGUGGAAGGGGCUCCCCCUGCCCCGCAGGUGCCGCCCCGAGGAGGUGGAGGAGGAGGAGCCGGGCACUGACUGGGGACCCAGGCAACGAAAGCAAGCGCUGCAAAGACGAAGGGGAGCGCCCAAGGAUGAGGAACGUUCCAAGACACUGAGUGAUUUGCUGAAAAUCACACAUCUAGAUGCAAAGCCAGAAUGCGAGCAGUGACCACCACACUUGACAAAUCCGUUGUUGCACACAUUUGUACUCUUCAAUCAACAAAACCUGAUGCAAAAAACAGAAAAGGGGGAGAUGUACAUGCAUUUUCCCUCACUGCAAAAAAAACACAACUUGUUUAACUACAGGUGUGUUCCUGGUGGUCUUUGAAUGAAGACAUUGACAGAAAGUAACAUAGCAUGCUGGUUAAAGACUGUUUUUAUUCGAAUCCUGGCUUUGCCAAUCAACAGCUGCAUAAAUUAAACUCUCGACCUCAGCUCCCUUAUUUGUAAAACAAGAAUAACAAAAAGACAUUUUUAUAAGGUUGGGUUGAAGGUUAAAUGAAAUAACAGAAGAUUAUCUCUUCACUAAUUUUAGCUGUAGAAAACAGAAGCCAAUCGAAAGAGCUCCCAGUCCAAAGCUGGAACAACUUGAACAACAAAAUAAAUAAUGUAGCAUUGGAUUACAAACCAACCAUAAAACAAAUAUCCAUGAGUCUAUACUGAUGUCAAUAAAUGAAUAAAUGUGGGAAAAUA